rnacentral:rRNA from 1 species
ACCCCACCAGCUAGCCCAACCCAGAUAACCAACAACCCACAUUAAUACCCCUAAAAACAACAACCUGCCCUAAGCCAAACCAUUUUUCCCUCAUAGUACGGGAGACGGAACAGAAGCCAGGCGCUAUAGAAAAAGUACCGCAAGGGAACGCUGAAAGAGAACUGAAAUAACCCAGUAAAGGAUAGAAAAGCAGAGAUAACCCCUCGUACCUUUUGCAUCAUGAUUUAGCAAGCACCCCCAAGCAAAGAGACCUUGAUGUUUGAAACCCCGAAACUAAGCGAGCUACUCCGAGACAGCUUACGUAGAGCAAACCCGUCUCUGUGGCAAAAGAGUGGGAAGAACUCCGAGUAGAGGUGACAGACCUACCGAGCUUAGUUAUAGCUGGUUGCCUGGGAAUUGAAUAGAAGUUCAGCCCUUUGACUCCUUUAACCAACCAAGAGGACUUCUAAACUCUCGGCCCCGAGGACAUCAAUGGAGCUAUUCAAAAGAGGGACAGCUCUUUUGAACAAAGACACAACUUUAUCAGUAGGGUAAGGACUAGAAGAAAUAAGGAUAAUGUCAAGGUGGGCCUAGAGGCAGCCAUCCUACCAGAAAGCGUUAAAGCUCAAGCAUAUUACUCCAGUAAUCCCAGCCAUUUUUUCCUAUCCCCCUAGUUGUACCAAGCUUUCCCAUGCCUGCAUGGGAGAAAAACUGCUACCAUGAGUAAUAAGGGGGGCCACCCCUCCCUCCCAGCCACCGUGUAAUCAGAACAGACCCUGCCUGAAAAUUAACGCCCCCAAUUAAGGAGGGAAGUAGAACAUAAGCCAGAGGGCCCAGAUGUCCCCCUACAACUAAGCGUUGACCCCACACCGGAUGGCCCAAGGAAAGACAUAAAAGGGAAGAAGGAACUCGGCAAACACUAGCCUCGCCUGUUUACCAAAAACAUCGCCUCUUGCAAACCCAGUAUAAGAGGUCCCGCCUGCCCUGUGACAUUAGUUUAACGGCCGCGGUAUUUUGACCGUGCAAAGGUAGCGUAAUCACUUGUCUUUUAAAUGAAGACCCGUAUGAAUGGCAUAACGAGGGCUUAACUGUCUCCUUCCCCCAGUCAAUGAAAUUGAUCUGCCCGUGCAGAAGCGGGCAUGAGUACAUUAGACGAGAAGACCCUAUGGAGCUUAAGGCAUCCGAGCAGUUUAAGUUACUUACCCUCGACAAAAAGGACCAAACCAAAUAAGCCCUGCUCAACUGCCUUUGGUUGGGGCGACCACGGGGAAAAAAGUAACCCCCGAGAAGAAUGUGUAAUACCACCCUUAAACUAGAGCCACAGCUCUACUAGCCAGAACUUCUGACCAAUCAGAUCCGGCAAAGCCGAUCAACGGACCCAGUUACCCUAGGGAUAACAGCGCAAUCCCCUUUUAGAGCCCACAUCGACAAGGGGGUUUACGACCUCGAUGUUGGAUCAGGACAUCCUAUUGGUGCAGCCGCUAUUAAGGGUUCGUUUGUUCAACGAUUAAAGUCCU